CCUACGGGUGGCAGCAGUAGGGAAUCUUCCACAAUGGGCGAAAGCCUGAUGGAGCAACGCCGCGUGGGUGAAGAAGGUCUUCGGAUCGUAAAACUCUGUUGUUAGAGAAGAAAGUGCGUGAGAGUAACUGUUCACGUUUCGACGGUAUCUAACCAGAAAGCCACGGCUAACUACGUGCCAGCAGCCGCGGUAAUACGUAGGUGGCAAGCGUUAUCCGGAUUUAUUGGGCGUAAAGGGAACGCAGGCGGUCUUUUAAGUCUGAUGUGAAAGCCUUCGGCUUAACCGGAGUAGUGCAUUGGAAACUGGGAGACUUGAGUGCAGAAGAGGAGAGUGGAACUCCAUGUGUAGCGGUGAAAUGCGUAGAUAUAUGGAAGAACACCAGUGACGAAAGCGGCUCUCUGGUCUGUAACUGACGCUGAGGUUCGAAAGCGUGGGUAGCAAACAGGAUUAGAUACCCUAGUAGUC
rnacentral:rRNA from 1 species